rnacentral:rRNA from 1 species
AUGAAGAACUUGAAAGACGCUAAGACCAAGAUUUUGCCCUCAACUACGAGGGGAGGUAAGGAACUGCCAUCUAGCUCUGCACUAGAUUCUCCUUCCGUUAUUGAUAGGCUUGCGACACCUAAACCUGCUACUGCUAUGAAUUCUGAUUUGUCGCAUGUUAUUGAUGAUGCCACUUCUGCUAUGCAUGAUGAAACUACUUCUGUGCGUGAUACUACUUUGCCAUUAGGUGAAUUUCUUGAUCAACAACUUGCUAGAGUUAGGGGGAAUGAAAAUGUUGAAGAACCUAUUAUUGAUGAUAGUGAUGAUGAACGUUCCCCCAAUGAUUAUGUAUUACCUAUUGUUCCUGCGGGUUAUGUUAUGAACAAAGAAGCUACUGAAGCUAUUCUUGCUUGCAAUGAUAGAAAUGAUCUUAAGAAAUUAUUAGCUAAAUGGAAGCAGCAGUCUCUUAAUGCUAGAAUGAAACCCGAUCCUGCUUUUGCUACUUCACCUAUAUGUGUUACUGAUAAGGAUUAUGAAUUCUCUGUUGAUCCUGAUAUUAUUAAUUUAGUUGAAUCUGAUCCUUUUUAUGGCCUUGAAUCUGAAACUAUUGUGUCACAUCUUACCAAGUUGAAUGACAUAGACACCCUAUUUACUCAUGAUGAGAAGUCUCGCUAUUUAUAUAUCCUUAAGAUUUUCCCAUUCUCAUUAAAGGGUGGUGCUAAGAGUUGGUAUAAUUCUCUUGCACCUGGUUGUGUGCGUAGUCCCCAGGAUAUGAUUUAUUACUUCUCUUCAAUAUUUCCCUGCUCAUAA